GAUGAACGCUGGCGGCGUGCCUAAUACAUGCAAGUCGAGCGAACAGACGAGGAGCUUGCUCCUCUGACGUUAGCGGCGGACGGGUGAGUAACACGUGGAUAACCUACCUAUAAGACUGGGAUAACUUCGGGAAACCGGACCUAAUACCGGAUAAUAUAUUGAACCGCAUGGUUCAAUAGUGAAAGACGGUUUUGCUUUCACUUAUAGAUUGAUCCGCGCCGCAUUAGCUAGUUGGUAAGGUAACGGCUUACCAAGGCAACGAUGCGUAGCCGACCUGAGAGGGUGAUCGGCCACACUGGAACUGAGACACGGUCCAGACUCCUACGGGAGGCAGCAGUAGGGAAUCUUCCGCAAUGGGCGAAAGCCUGACGGAGCAACGCCGCGUGAGUGAUGAAGGUCUUCGGAUCGUAAAACUCUGUUAUUAGGGAAGAACAAAUGUGUAAGUAACUAUGCACGUCUUGACGGUACCUAAUCAGAAAGCCACGGCUAACUACGUG
rnacentral:rRNA from 1 species